GGGGAUUUGGCUCAGUGGUUCCACCGCCUUCUUCGCAAGAGCAAGGUCCCAAGUUCGAUCCCUGGAAUCCCCC
rnacentral:tRNA from 1 species